AUGACUUUCAUCACCAUCUUCAUCUGGACACUUUUGUGUUUUUUUAAAGAGUCCAGAGGACAGGUGACUGUGACUCAGACUCCAGAAGUGAAAUCUGCUCUUCCAGGAGACACAGUCACUAUCAACUGUAAAACCAGCUCUGGAGUGAGCAGUGGUAAUCGUCUGCACUGGUACCAACACAAACCUGGAGAGGCUCCUAAACUUCUGAUUUAUUAUGCAAGUGACCGUGUGUCUGGAGUUUCAGAUCGUUUCAGUGGCAGUGGAUCUGAUACUGACUUCACUCUGACCAUCAGUAACAUCCAGACUGAAGAUGCAGGAGAUUAUUACUGUCAGAGUGUACAUGACAUCAGUGAUAGGAAGCUGAGAGGAAAAUCUGAAGACACCAUCUCUGUUGACUGUUUUACUGUCAACAAGCUGCUGGACAGCCAAUCAAACAAGUUCAUGUUAAAAGUCUCUGUCCUGACCUUCAGAUGA